rnacentral:lncRNA from 1 species
CUGGCUGGCUAACACAGUACAGGGGCCUGCAGGGGCAGCUGUGCACUUAGGAGAUCAGAUCUGCCUCUUAAAUGUAAGACUUUUUGCUGAUCCCAUGCAGAAGGACAAAGGAAAGGGAUUCAAAUGACAUCUUGCUCGGCACGGAAGAGUGGUUACUCAGUGGUCAUUUUCAUCUGGGCACAUCUCAGGGUGGCCAGUUCUUCGACAGCUCAGGCCAGCAGAGGUACCCGCCCCCUUCAAUACUGCUGCAUCCUCUGAGCAUCUCUCUGUUGUCUCCUGGCACAAGCCAUGUGCUCAUCAGACCUGCGCACACUAUUUGGGAGUGAACAGCACAACCUGCCCUACCUUAUUCAAAGUAUUGGUAUCGUCUCUCAAAGCUGUGAGUGUUUCAACAGCAGGCAGCUACCUUAUAGUUCUGGGAACUCCAGUGCUUGGCACUACAACUUCAAUUAGGGAGCAACACUUUCAAGCAACAAGAAGCCUGCUGAGCCACAGAACACUGUGGGUCUUUCCUGAGCCAAGAGCUCACCUCAGAUGUGCAGAUGAGUCCCUUCAAGGAGCCAUCUGGCUUCCUGACCGGCCACUGAUAAGAGGACUUCACAGGUGACAGGGAGGGAAAUAGGCAGUGAUGAGUGUUUGCAAGGGUGGGGGGACGUGGACCCCUCCUCUCCGUGCUUCCAGCGUCGGCCUCUAUGUACACUUUCUUCAAGAGCUCAUGGGGUAACUGAGCCCUGGCUUCGUGAAGAGAGCCCUCGUGGAACAAUAAACAUAGAAAGCCAAUUCACUAGGAAAGUAUUAUUCUUAGUAACACUUUUCUGCUGAAAGAGAUUUCAGGAAGCACUGAGUGUCCCACAUGAAGCAACAGAUGCAGGUACUGAUCACCUAGCUGCCCAUAUCAGCAAAUAAGAGACAAUAAGGCACAAUUUGUUUCAUAGAAAUACACGCCUCUGGUGUAAAGAAACGCCUACCAGCUUAGCUGGUUCUAGAGAACAGAGAAGUGGGCUGGGUAAGGCCUUUGGCAAAUUACAAAUCCACAGAAAGAAUCCCCGCUUGGCCCACAGCUGGAUGCAGGGGCCCUGGUGUGGCCAGAUCAAGGGAAAUCAGAAAUCUGGAGAUCUAAUGGGAAAUCAUUAAUUAAAAAUGAUGUCAACUAUUUUUUUUAGUAUUUUGAACUAUUCUUAUAAAUAAAAAAUAUGGAAAGCAAAG